rnacentral:tRNA from 1 species
GGGGAUAUAACUCAGUUGGUAGAGUGCUUGCCUUGCAUGCACAAGACCCUGGGUUCAAUUCCCCAGCACCA